CCGAGUGUAGGGUUCCUAGCGAGCCCAACCUCCCACCCGUGUUUACUGUACCUUAGUUGCUUCGGCGGGCCCGCCAUUCGUGGCCGCCGGGGGCUCUCAGCCCCGGGCCCGCGCCCGCCGGAGACACCACGAACUCUGUCUGAUCUAGUGAAGUCUGAGUUGAUUGUAUCGCAAUCAGUUA
rnacentral:misc_RNA from 2 species